GCCGAAAUAGGUCAAAUGGGAGAGCGCCAGACUGAAGAUCUGAAAGUCCCUGGUUCAAUCCCGGGUUUCGGCA
rnacentral:tRNA from 1 species